GACGAACGCUGGCGGCGUGCUUAACACAUGCAAGUCGAACGGAAAGGCCCUGCUUUUGUGGGGUGCUCGAGUGGCGAACGGGUGAGUAACACGUGAGUAACCUGCCCUUGACUUUGGGAUAACUUCAGGAAACUGGGGCUAAUAUCGGAUAGGAGCUCCUGCUGCAUGGUGGGGGUUGGAAAGUUUCGGCGGUUGGGGAUGGACGCGCGGCUUAUCAGCUUGUUGGUGGGGUAGUGGCUUACCAAGGCUUUGACGGGUAGCCGGCCUGAGAGGGUGACCGGCCACAUUGGGACUGAGAUACGGACCAGACUCCUACGGGAGGCAGCAGUGGGGAAUAUUGCACAAUGGGCGGAAGCCUGAUGCAGCAACGCCGCGUGCGGGAUGACGGCCUUCGGGUUGUAAACCGCUUUCGCCUGUGACGAAGCGUGAGUGACGGUAAUGGGUAAAGAAGCACCGGCUAACUACGUG
rnacentral:rRNA from 1 species